UACGUAGGGAGCAAGCGUUGUCCGGAAUCAUUGGGCGUAAAGCGCGCGUAGGCGGCCCGGUAAGUCCGUUGUAAAAGUCAAAGGCUCAACCUUUGAAAGCCGAUGGAUACUGCCGGGCUAGAAUCCGGAAGAGGCGAGUGGAAUUCCUGGUGUAGCGGUGGAAUGCGCAGAUAUCAGGAGGAACACCAAUAGCGAAGGCAGCUCGCUGGGACGGUAUUGACGCUAAGGCGCGAAAGCGUGGGGAGCAAACAGG
rnacentral:rRNA from 1 species